CCUCUCUCACUCUCACGUGAAACUGCUCUCCCUCUCUUCAUUCAUGACAGGAAGAAGAAAAAGCGUGUGGGUGGCGGCUCUUUCCCUCCAUCUCAUGAAACUGCUGGAGCUCUCUUGGUUUCUUCUCUCUAGCUCUCCCCUUCUAGCUUUCAAAUCUACAGCAGUUUUUGGAGCAAGGAAACGAAGACAAACUGCAUGGAUCUCGCAGCUAAAGCGGUUUGGAGCAAGGAAAUGAAGAAAAACUGCAUGGAUCUCGCGGCCAUAGCUUUUUGGAGUAAGGAAAUGAAGAAAAACUUGGUAGAUCUCACUGCUAUAGCACUCACGCAAGGAAAAAAAUGAAGAGCUGCUGUAUAUGAUUUCUCCAUUCAAACCGAGAGCAAAAAAAAAAAAAGGCUGCUGUUAGAUUUUUCCACAAGAAAGAGAGGGAUUCUUCGUCUUCUUGUUUCUUCAAGCACGAGCAUGCAAACGUCGUGCGCAGAUGCGCUCACUAUGGUGCUAUGCCUACUACUUGCAUGUCGCCAUUGUUUCACCUGUUGCCUGCACACUGCGUCGAUGCCACUUGCGAAGUCUUCUUGCGUAGGACGCGACGACUACGCUUUCUGCCUGUACGCUGCCACGUCUAUUUGCCCACCUGCUAAAGAGAAGUUGGUUCCGCCCCUGAUCUAGUUUAUCUAUUUUUCUAUGACACUAGAAUAGUUGGUACUUGGUAGAUGGAUAUCUUUGUGCUGUUGUUUGUUGUAAGAUUACUUAAAUUCUCAUUAAAUUAAAGUGUCAAAAAUAUCAGUGCUGCCCUUGCAAAUGAAGAAGUAUGUUGGGUAGCCCUACUAUUUUUAUUUUUCUCUUAACAAAAUAGUUUUAUCUAGCCUUUCAUUGCUC